rnacentral:rRNA from 1 species
CUACGGGAGGCAGCAGUGGGGAAUAUUGGACAAUGGGGGCAACCCUGAUCCAGCAAUGCCGCGUGAGUGAUGAAGGCCUUAGGGUUGUAAAGCUCUUUUACCAGGGACGAUGAUGACGGUACCUGGGGAAUAAGCCCCGGCUAACUUCGUGCCAGCAGCCGCGGUAAUACGAAGGGGGCUAGCGUUGUUCGGAAUUACUGGGCGUAAAGGGCGCGUAGGCGGCCUUGUCAGUCGGGCGUGAAAGCCCUGGGCUCAACCCAGGAAUAGCGUUCGAUACUAUGAGGCUAGAGGACCGGAGAGGAUGGUGGAAUUCCCAGUGUAGAGGUGAAAUUCGUAGAUAUUGGGAAGAACACCGGUGGCGAAGGCGGCCAUCUGGACGGUUACUGACGCUGAGGCGCGAAAGCGUGGGGAGCAAACAGGAUUAGAUACCCGCGUAGUCCC